ensembl:lncRNA
GGGACUUUUUGAUGGCACCUUCCUGGCCAGAGAUGAGGAGGUGUCAAGUUUUGUUGCUCAAAUCCAGCAGGCAACCAAACAUGUAAAUACUCCUGGGAAAGGAAUGUGCGGAUCAUCACAAUGGACAGCUGCAAAAGAGCAUUCUGGGAAAUCUGCCUCAAAAAUUGAUGAGGAGGGGCUGGAAAUCGCUGUGUGCCGGCAUGGGGUGCUUUUGAGAGCACUGAAUAUGUUCAGAGGGGAGAUUUAUGCUUACCCUCUGUAUCUGCAGAAGGAACUGUCCCCCUCAAAUGUUUCCUUUUUCUGUUCAGAUGUGGCAUGCAAGUAUUAUCCGUAUUUGGAAAAGGUCUCCAAUAAGUGCUCUGAACUGCAGGGACUAUUGGAGAUGCAUCCACUUCUUUCAGUGAUGCAUGCCAAAGCACACUCCUGGACAUGUGAGUUGAAAUGGGGUGGACGCAAUCAAGAAGGCGCUGGCAAUACCAUUGGUGAGGAAGUGGAGCAGGUAAAUAGCUUCCUGUCCAGGGCUGCUAUAUCCACAAAAUACAUGUCUAAAGGUGGAAGAACAGACAUGCUCACAGUUCUGGCAAUGGGGUGGAACAAAAAGAAAAUGAGUAACAUGGACAAAAUAUUGGCCCAAAGAUAUGCUAAGGCCGUCCAGAGAGUGGCAGAUGAUAAGCUUAAGCUGGAGGAGCUCAAAGCUGAGUUAAGGAUUGAUGAUGCUGUUAUCCAACAGUGGGUCACUGAGGUGCAACACUGGCCUGAAGCAAAUUCUAGUUUGGAGGGUGAAGCCUCAAGGGAGGUCAUUCUGAAGAAGAAAAUUGAAGGACUGUACCUUAGUGUCAUGCAGAGGAAACAUCGCCUUUACCGUCAGACAGACAGCAACAAGAGACGACAUAAGAUGCGCCAGAAAAUUGCAGAGGAAAAGGCAGCUUUAUCUUCUGCUAUUGAAGAGUUACGUGAACAGACGGACAUCAUUCUGCCUGCUGUUGAUGAGCUUCUCUUGACUGAAAAUUUUGUGUGGUCCUGGACUUAUCUUGGACCCACUGAUCUCAGAACAAAGAAGGCCAUCUUUGACCAGGUGAUGGUGAUCAGGAGAAUGCAAGAGGAGGAGCAAAUUGUAGUUCAGGAGAUGAGGAGGCACUUGAACUCCCUCAUAGGUGUUGCUGGGAGUCUAAAAACCUUACUGCUGGACCAAAGCAAUGGCGCACACUGUGGAUAUCACAGCAUGUUGAGGAGGAGAUUGAGUGUUGUGAAUGCCCAAGUACAUCACACAAAAGCAUCAUUCAGCUUGGCUCUUCAUGGAGAAAUGACAUCCCAAGAUAUGCUGUCUGAGGACAGGGAGGAACAAGUGUCAGAUGUGGAGGACACAUCUGAUGAUGACAAUGACAUUGAUUCUUCAUAAGUACAUUGAGAUUAUUAAAUACCCAUGUCUAGUUCUUUGGGCUUCAAAACAGCUUAUGGUGCAUGAUGUGGUGCAUUAUCACCACAUCAUUUACAGGUAGUUCUCGACUUACGUCCAUUCGACUUUACGACCGUUUUAUGAAAGGUGAGCUACGAAUUUAAGAAUUAAGAAUUUAACUUAUAAUUCGUGCUUAGUUCUUUUUCUCAAAUGAAAAGCGAAUCAACAGCCGAAUUACAACCGAGACUUGCCUAAAUAGUAGCGGCCGUUGGCGUAGUGCACUACUUAGGCUUGCUUUCUAGUGUUGUAGUACGCGGUUUGAGAUUCAGCUAAAGAGCGCACAAUGGAAGAGAAGAGUAUUUUGAUUGACACUGGAAAAAAACAAUCACGAUCGGCACUCGGAAUAACAAGGGGUUGACCAUCAUCCCGGAAGAUAUGUUAUGUUCUGAAUUGCAAUUAGUGUUUUACUUUAAAUUAACUGUAAAAAAAAAAAGAAAGUGUAUUAAUAGACGCUUCAAAUGACAUAAAAUGAACAAAGAAAAGUAUGACAUAUAACAAUAAUAAGGAAAAUGAUGAUAAAAUAUGAUUUAAAGAUUUUCAUAACAUCAUUACACAGUACUGUACAUAUAGCCUACUCGAGUUACGUCCAAUCAGCUUUACAACGGGUUUGUUGGAACCAGUCGUCGUCGUAAGUCGAGAACUACCUGUAAUUGCUUUGGCCAAUUCUGUGUUGGGUGGAGAAGACAUCUCUGGGAGUGAAAAACACUUUUUAUUAUUAAAUUUUAUAAUCUGUUCUUUUGAUCACAAAAAUUACAAAGGACACCUACUCAUUCACGUCUUAUUCGAGCUGUGCUGAAUUACUAUAUAUGUAUCACAGGCCUGAGAAUAGCCUGAAUUAAUUUCAUUGUUAUAUCUGUGUGUAUGUGUGUAAUUAUAUAAUUGAGGAGGCAGUUUUUGCACAGGAGACAAGACCCCUGAAGCUUGUAUAUAGUCUUCAUUGUGCAUAUACAGUUAAAUUUGCAUACUAUCAUGAAACGCGCUGUACACUUUCCAGUGCACAUAAUGGAUACUGCUGAAUUGGUAUUAUUCUGUGCAUUUAUCCUUAGUCUAAUGUUAAUAUGGACAAUUGUCAAGAAAAAAAAUGCUUUACAUUGUGAAUAAAUG